rnacentral:rRNA from 1 species
ACGAGAAGCCCGGGCUUGCCCGGGUGGAAAGUGGCGAACGGGUGAGUAACACGUGAGCAACCUGCCCCGAAGACCGGGAUAACACCGGGAAACCGGUGCUAAUACCGGAUGUCCUCACCGGACCGCAUGAUCCGGCGAGGAAAUGGUCCUCCGCUUCGGGAUGGGCUCGCGGCCUAUCAGCUUGUUGGUGGGGUAACGGCCCACCAAGGCGACGACGGGUAGCUGGUCUGAGAGGAUGUCCAGCCACACUGGGACUGAGACACGGCCCAGACUCCUACGGGAGGCAGCAGUGGGGAAUCUUGCGCAAUGGGCGAAAGCCUGACGCAGCGAUGCCGCGUGCGGGAUGAAGGCCUUCGGGUUGUAAACCGCUUUCAGCAGGGACGAAAUUGACGGUACCUGCAGAAGAAGCCCCGGCCAACUACGUGCCAGCAGCCGCGGUAAUACGUAGGGGGCAAGCGUUGUCCGGAUUUAUUGGGCGUAAAGAGCUCGUAGGCGGUUGGGCAAGUCACGUGUGAAAUCUCCACGCUCAACGUGGAGGCGCCACGUGAGACUGCCUGACUCGAGUCCGGUAGGGGAGCGUGGAAUUCCGGUGUACGGUGAAAUGCGCAGAGAUCGGGAGGAACACCCGUAGCGAAG